GAGCCUUCCCCUUUGUUUCCCUCAGUGAUGCUAGGGUCUUGAAACUCAGCCCAGUACAAUCAUUGGUGUUUGAGCUGGCAACUGGGGGUCUAAUUGCCAACUAAGAUGGAUAUCUCUGGCUCUGGAGAAACAGCUGGGAUAGGACAUUGUUGCUUCUCUGCGGCAGGCAGCUCAUGAUGCAAAUGCCGAGUUUGGACCAAUAGGAUUCAAACCUUGGUGGCUGCCUCCAGCAUGCACUCUUUGCACUGCUCUGCUUCCUCCUGCCACUCUGGUGACAUUUGCGUGGAGAUAGGGUUUCUCUGUGCAGUCCUGGCUGUCCUGGAACUCACUCUGUAGACCAGGCUGGCUUAACGUUGAUGAAGACACCCAAAAAGAAGAUGGAACACCGGAGUGCUUUUGCCAUCAAACUUAUUCGUGCACUGUGUCAAUGCCACAGCUGAUGUGGGUGGUGGAAAUCCUACGGACAAGAGCAAAGACAGCACCUUGUCCACCAGAGUCCAUGGCAGUGUGCUCCUGAACAUGCCACUAAAGCAAACCACACGUCGUGGCCAGCUUUCCCUCCCUUAGAGGAUGCUGUGUAUAAUAAACAGCAUCCAGACUGAGGAACUACAACAAGGAACAGCAAGGCUUUUUGUUCCCAAUUACAUUCAGAGGAAGCCUCACCAUGUCUAUGGAUGCCCAGCAGGCUCUUCACCUGUGGCUCAAACCUCAAUCAGCUUUAGGGCAGCUACGAACAGACAGUCCCUCUGCCACACCUCAUGGAAGUCGUCUGCCUGUCCAGCUGAACACGGAUUUGUUUUGAAAUGACACGGAGAGUUACAUAAAGAAAAACUUGUUCUGACAAGAAAAGACUUGAGGAGAUAAAAAUCCUCCUGGUCUCGGGGUUCUCCAGAUCUCUUCCCACAGCAUCCUUGUCUCCCUGAGGAAAUGAGUAGUAUUUACAGUAUUCUGCUGCUAUGCUCAACAGAUUCUUGUAUGUACAGUUCUCACCUCUUUUCUCAGAACCUUCUCCGGUGAAUGCCACCUUUGUCUUGCAGGGCAGCUGAAGUGAGAGAUGAAACAGACUCUUUUAUAGGGGCUCACUACUCACUUUAAGCCCAGGGCUUCUGGCAAAGUGUGACGUACUUGUUCUUGGAUACCAGAGAUGGCAGACUCCAAAUCUUGUCAUCUUCAAUUGCAAUGGGGAACAAUUUGGCUUCAAAUAAUUUUUCCAACAUACAUGAAGUCUGAAGGAAUUUUUGGAGAGCUCAACAGUAAUGCUUUUCUCUAGAGAUGAUCGUCCUUUAUAGCUUGGUCAUGGGAGGUUCAUAAGGGAGCCUCCUGGACAUGGUACUAUCAACGUGCACGAGAGGUCCACUCUGGUUUGGAAACCCACUGUCUUCUUCCUGGCGCUAGCUUUUGCUAAUCCAGAGAACCUAACUUCCCAGACAUAAGGUGGCAGGUGAGCCUGAUGGAUAGUUCCUGGCCGAAGCAGCUCCUGUCUUGUGUCAGACAUCUACAGCAGACAUGGAGGAGUCCUAGCUGAGCAGCCCAAGAACAUGAGCAGAAGAUAGGGGUGUGCAGGUCUCCCGCACUGCCCCCUUGACACAUAUGCUACCUGGGGGUUUCUCCACGUUAUCUCACAGAUUUUCACAAAAUAAGUGUCCAUAUUCCAGGAAGGCUAAGGCUGGAAACUAUUGCCUGUUGCACACAUUGCUUCCUAGCUGGCUGGAGAAUGUCCUGCUAGUCACUGUGACAUGCUUUUUCCGGGAGAAAUGAGAAACCUUUUUCAUCAUGGAAGAAGAAGAACUAGACAUUUCCAUGGACAAGAAUUCAUUACAUCACUGCUCCUUUGACAGACAGGGCUGGAAGCCCUGGGGUGCACAGAGCCUCAGGCUAGCAGCCAGCUCACCAACUCUCAUGCUUUCUGUUUCUCCACAAAAUGAAGACACAAAAAGAACUUAGUUUCAUGGACAUGGCAUGAAAUGAAAAGUCAGGCUUCAUUUGGCACUUUGUUUGGGUCCCCAAAUAACAAAAUAACUACUUAAGAAAUG
rnacentral:lncRNA from 1 species